UACGGAGGGGGCCAGCGUUGCUCGGAAUCACUGGGCGUAAAGGGCUUGUAGGCGGUCUGGUAAGUCCUGUGUGAAAUCCCUUGGCUUAACCAAGGAAUUGCGCAGGAUACUGUCGGACUAGAGGCCGGGAGAGGGAAGCGGAAUUCCGAGUGUAGCGGUGAAAUGCGUAGAUAUUCGGAGGAACACCGGUGGCGAAGGCGGCUUCCUGGACCGGUUCUGACGCUGCAGAGCGAAAGCUAGGGGAGCAAACAGG
rnacentral:rRNA from 1 species